UACGGAGGGGGCUAGCGUUGUUCGGAAUUACUGGGCGUAAAGCGCACGUAGGCGGACUGGAAAGUCAGGGGUGAAAUCCCGGGGCUCAACCCCGGAACUGCCUUUGAAACUCCCGGUCUUGAGGUCGAGAGAGGUGAGUGGAAUUCCGAGUGUAGAGGUGAAAUUCGUAGAUAUUCGGAGGAACACCAGUGGCGAAGGAGGCUCACGGGCUCGAUAAUGACGCUGAGGUGCGAAAGCGUGGGGAGCAAACAGG
rnacentral:rRNA from 1 species